rnacentral:rRNA from 1 species
AGCGAAAUUCCUUGUCGGGUAAGUUCCGACCUGCACGAAUGGCGUAACGACUGCCCCGCUGUCUCAACCGGAGUCCCAGCGAAAUUGAAAUCGCUGUGAAGAUGCAGCGUACCCGCGGCUAGACGGAAAGACCCCGUGGACCUUUACUGCAGCUUGGCGUUGGAUCUAGGCAUGUCCUGCGCAGGAUAGGUGGGAGGCUGAGAAGCCGGGACGCCAGUUCCGGUGGAGCCGCCCUUGAGAUACCACCCUGGGCAUGCUUGGGUUCUAACCGCGGCCCGUGAUCCGGGUCCGGGACAGCGCCUGGCGGGCAGUUUGACUGGGGCGGUCGCCUCCUAAAGGGUAACGGAGGCGCGCGAAGGUACCCUCAGGCUGGUCGGAAAUCAGCCAUUGAGCGCAAGGGUAAAUGGGUGCCUGACUGCGAGGCCCACAAGCCGAGCAGGGACGAAAGUCGGCCCUAGUGAUCCGGCGGUCCCGUGUGGAAGGGCCGUCGCUCAACGGAUAAAAGGUACCCCGGGGAUAACAGGCUGAUCCCGCCCAAGAGCCCACAUCGACGGCGGGGUUUGGCACCUCGAUGUCGGCUCAUCGCAUCCUGGGGCUGGAGCAGGUCCCAAGGGUUCGGCUGUUCGCCGAUUAAAGCGGUACGUGAGCUGGGUUUAGAACGUCGUGAGACAGUUCGGUCCCUAUCUACCGCGGGCGUUGGAGGACUGAGGGGGGCUGUCCCUAGUACGAGAGGACCGGGACGGACGCACCUCUGGUGUCCCUGUUGUCCUGCCAAGGGCACCGCAGGGUAGCCACGUGCGGAACGGAUAACCGCUGAAGGCAUCUAAGCGGGAAACCGGCCCCAAGAUGAGUCCUCCCUGGAGCCUUGAGCUCCCUGAAGGGCCCUGGAAGAUGACCAGGUUGAUAGGCCGGAGGUGGAAGCGCGGCAACGCGUGGAGCUGACCGGUACUAAUCGCCCGUGAGGCUUGACCAUGCAACG